UCUAGAGAUUACUCCUACGGGAGGCAGCAGUGGGGAAUAUUGCACAAUGGGGGAAACCCUGAUGCAGCCAUGCCGCGUGUGUGAAGAAGGCCUUCGGGUUGUAAAGCACUUUCAGCGAGGAGGAAAAGUUGGUAGCUAAUAACUGCCAGCUGUGACGUUACUCGCAGAAGAAGCACCGGCUAACUCCGUGCCAGCAGCCGCGGUAAUAAUCGUCGAC
rnacentral:rRNA from 1 species